rnacentral:rRNA from 1 species
UACGGAGGGGGCCAGCGUUGUUCGGAAUUAUUGGGCGUAAAGGGCGCGUAGGCGGCUUUGCAAGUGGCGGGUGAAAUCCCUCGGCUUAACCGAGGAACUGCCUGUCAAACUGCAUGGCUUGAGACCAGGAGAGGUGAGUGGAAUUCCCAGUGUAGCGGUGAAAUGCGUAGAUAUUGGGAGGAACACCAGUGGCGAAGGCGGCUCACUGGACUGGUACUGACGCUGAUGCGCGAAAGCGUGGGGAGCAAACAGG